UACCUUAAAAGCUUGUAUUACCGAAAACAAUGUCCUACGUAGUUUAGACGAACCUGAUGUCCCACAAGUCUACAACUAUGAAAUAGGAGAUAAGUGUCCAG